ACGGCUUCAAGAAUCUCUCCGAACUGAUCAAAGUAACGACGCAUUUCUGCGGCGGGAGUUUCCCAUGCUAAUCCUCCAACGAACACUUUGGUGAAAGUCGUGUCUCCGAACGGUGAUCGGUAAUAGCUCGUUUGAUACAUUUUAUUUAUUAAAAAAAUAAACGAAAGAAGAUUUGUGUACAAACUUAGCUUCUUUAUAUCAUCAAAUGUUGUUUUUGGUUGGGCAGAGAGAAGUGAGACCAAUCAAAAGGUUGCAAUUUCAACCCUUGAAACGAUGUCGUGUUUGACUCCGACUCGGCGACUCUACACAUACGAAGAGAG
rnacentral:lncRNA from 1 species